AUUGAACGCUAGCGGGAUGCUUUACACAUGCAAGUCGAACGAGUGGCGGACGGGUGAGUAAUAUAUCGGAACCUGCCCCGUAGCGGGGGAUAACUACUCGAAACAGUGGCUAAUACCGCAUACUAUUGGAUCUGCCCAUAUCGGAUUAGCUAGUUGGUGGGGUAAAGGCUCACCUAGGCGACGAUCCCUAGCUGGUCUGAGAGGAUGACCAGCAACACGUGAACUGAGACACGGUCCAGACUCCGACGGGAGGCAGCAGUGGGGAAGAUUGCAAAAUGGGCGCAAGCCUGAUGCAGCCAUGCCGCGUGUAUGAAGAAGGCCUUCGGGUUGUAAAGUACUUUCAGCGGGGAGGCGUUACCCGCAGAAGAAGCACCGGCUAACUCCGUGCCAGCAGCCGCGGUAAUAC
rnacentral:rRNA from 1 species